rnacentral:lncRNA from 1 species
ACAAGUCUAACGUAAUCACUUUUACUCAUUCAAUCAAAUGAGUAACAGUGUAACAAUGCUGUACUACGGCUGCUGGUUUAUACAAACUCUUUUUUUCUUCUCUUCUAUGCACCAAUAUUUUGGAAGUCAUGAUGAUGAGUAACUAAUUCCAUAAAAUACAGAAGUUGAUCAAUUACAAAAUUUAUUCUCAUAAAUUCUCCAUACAUGUCAUGCGAAUGAUAAAGAAAAAGAAGAAGAUAAAAGACAAGAAAGACAAUGACAGUAGUAUACAUUAGAAUUUUAUAUAAACUUGGUAAACUGGAGGAUUUGAUGUUCAUCAUCGUUGGCUUAUAUAUAUAUAUAUACAAGUUAAUGAUGAUGAGCAUCAGGUCCUCCUGGACUCAAUCUUUGUGUACCACGCUGUCCACCUUCUUCUGCAAUUGGUUGUAUUGGUGUCCACUUCAAGGUUCCAAGGACGUCCCUUACAAUUGUUGGGUUCAAAGGCCGUGCCUCACUUCCUGCACUUAAAAUCAAGAUCAAGCAAAUGCAACCCAAAAAUCUCGUUAACAUAGCCAUUCUACCAGUGAUCCUUCUCACAAUGUUAGCUGAAGAGAAAGAAAAUACUAUUUUGGAAACUUAUUGGAUAAUGUGGUGGCUAGUGUAGGAAAGAUUAUAGCCAAGCAUGUGGUAUUUAUAGUAAUUCCUAUAUGAUUAUUAUAUACAUACCAUACUACGUCGUAUGAUUUCUGUAUCACUGAAAGUGCGGUGAAGUGUAUCUGAUUUAUUGAGAUCAUGCAUGAAUUGAAAUUAAUCUGGUUUUCGCUGCAAUUUGCCAAAUACUAGAUGGAUCGGCCAAUGGUGCUGUGAUUGAUGUGUGAUAUCCACUUUUCUAGGCCAGCAAAACCAAUAGUGUGCACUUCUGAAGUUGGAUUUCUAUGUGCAUGACG